rnacentral:lncRNA from 1 species
GGAAUAAUUUCCAUAGUUUAUGUUGUUGCUGUUGUUGAAGUUGUUGAUGUAUGGUUUGUGGAACUGUGAACUAUAGUUGAAGUUACUCAUAUGUCCAUUCCAUAGGUGUUUUUGUAUCCACUCUGAUUCCCAAGCUUCUGAUUAUGAAAACCAGUACCACUGAUUAUAGUUGAAGUUCACAUCCUCUUCCAAAUCUCCGUCACUGUUGACGUCUACAGCUUUCAUAUCCUCUGCAAAGCUAGAGUGCUUCUUGAGAAGCUUGUGAACACUGUCCAGCUUAGCCUUAACAUCGUCCAACUCUUCCUUUCCUAGGGUGGUCGAU